rnacentral:rRNA from 1 species
AACGUAGGUACCGAGCGUUAUCCGGAUUUACUGGGCGUAAAGCGCGUUCAGGCGGUUUGGCAAGUCGGGCAUGAAAUCUCUCGGCUCAACCGGGAGAGGUUGUCCGAUACUGCUGGAUUGGAGGGCAGUAGAGGGUGGUGGAAUUCCGGGUGUAGUGGUGAAAUGCGUAGAGAUCCGGAGGAACACCAGUGGCGAAGGCGACUCUUUGGUCUGUAACUGACGCUGAGGCGCGAAAGCGUGGGGAGCAAACAGG